rnacentral:rRNA from 1 species
AGAGUUUGAUCAUGGCUCAGAUUGAACGCUGGCGGCAGGCCUAACACAUGCAAGUCGAGCGGUAGCACAGAGAGCUUGCUCUCGGGUGACGAGCGGCGGACGGGUGAGUAAUGUCUGGGAAACUGCCUGAUGGAGGGGGAUAACUACUGGAAACGGUAGCUAAUACCGCAUAACGUCGCAAGACUAAAGUGGGGGACCUUCGGGCCUCAUGCCAUCAGAUGUGCCCAGAUGGGAUUAGCUGGUAGGUGGGGUAACGGCUCACCUAGGCGACGAUCCCUAGCUGGUCUGAGAGGAUGACCAGCCACACUGGAACUGAGACACGGUCCAGACUCCUACGGGAGGCAGCAGUGGGGAAUGUUGCACAAUGGGCGCAAGCCUGAUGCAGCCAUGCCGCGUGUGUGAAGAAGGCCUUCGGGUUGUAAAGCACUUUCAGCGGGGAGGAAGGCGGUGAGGUUAAUAACCUCACCGAUUGACGUUACCCGCAGAAGAAGCACCGGCUAACUCCGUGCCAGCAGCCGCGGUAAUACGGAGUGUGCAAGCGUUAAUCGGAAUUACUGGGCGUAAAGCGCACGCAGGCGGUCUGUCAAGUCGGAUGUGAAAUCCCCGGGCUCAAUCUGGGAACUGCAUUCGAAACUGGCAGGCUAGAGUCUUGUAGAGGGGGGUAGAAUUCCAGGUGUAGCGGUGAAAUGCGUAGAGAUCUGGAGGAAUACCGGUGGCGAAGGCGGCCCCCUGGACAAAGACUGACGCUCAGGUGCGAAAGCGUGGGGAGCAAACAGGAUUAGAUACCCUGGUAGUCCACGCUGUAAACGAUGUCGAUUUGGAGGUUGUGCCCUUGAGGCGUGGCUUCCGGAGCUAACGCGUUAAAUCGACCGCCUGGGGAGUACGGCCGCAAGGUUAAAACUCAAAUGAAUUGACGG